UGAAGGCGGCGGACGGGACAGCCGCCUGCCCCGCGCGCUGUCUGAUCCCCAAACCCCCUCACCUCCAGAUCCGCCGCGGAGCUCGCGCAACGAGCAGCCGAGCUAACGAGCGCGCUUUCAUUUCUCUAAUCUGCUCAGUAAACACAGCGCGGACCCGCCAAGUCCGCAAAUGAACUAGCGCCUCAGAAAAAGCGCCCGUUUAGCAGCAGACUUGUUUCGAGCUGGAGGAAAGCAGUUGCCAUCGGACGCGCGUGUUUACAAACACGUGAACGCGCUUCGAGCGUGAGCCUGUGGUUAAAAUGUCCCGCUCGCCCCCAGUUAGAUCACUGAACACAUCCCGCCGUCCCUUCCGCGCAGGAGCGACUCGAGCCGAGAGCCGUGGAGUCUGAGAACACAGACUUAAUCUUUAAUAAGUCUCGUCCAGAUGAUCAAACUGUCCUCUUUUCUUUUCUUUUUUUUUUUAAACGUGCUCAGUGUUUCAGUUCGACAGGGAUCCGCUGAGUCCUCCAGAGGAGCAGCAGAGCUCCUGCAAGAGCACGAGGAUGGAAGGAGUAAAGAUCAGCGGGUGAGUUUCUUACUGUUUGCUCUCAAGAAGCGACUUUCUUAAAGGGAAAACGCCGCUUUAGCACGUUUCAGUGUUAACAACAAACACGAAGCUGGUUACAUUAUUUCAUGUGCAAGAGAUAAAACUGAUACUAAUACUCAAAAUGCAAUAACCACUUAGAUUAUUAAUUUCUAACAGGUUUUAUACGUCAGAUAUUUUUUCUUAAUGAUGAUAUAAUUUCUCAAUCGCUAUAUAUGUGCCAGAUAUUUCCCAUACGGAGAUAUCAUCUCUGAUGUGGUUUCACAUGUGCCUGAUAUUUCUCAAAUGAUAAUCUCAAAAGAUAAUUUCUCUUAUUAUUUAGACGUUUCCCACACAGUGAGAUGUUUUCUGGUUUGUCUUGAAUGUUUUUCAUAUAAGCAGAAAUGUUCUGAUAUAAUUUUAUAUAUAUUUAAUAUCAGAUAUGUCUCAUAUGGGAAAAUAAUUCCUGAUGUAGCUUUAAACGCGUCAGAUGUUUCUCAUAUAGGGAGAUAUUUCCUCAUGAUUGUGUUUGUGUUAGCUGUUUCUCAUACGGGUUCAGCAGUGCUGAAGUGUGAUGGGACUUCACUAAAUAUUUACUGUGCACUUUGGACACAUGGUCACAGAUGCAGGCUGCUGCAGGUUUCCUUCACUGGGACAUGGGGUGUGUGUGUGAGUGUGUGUGUAGUGGAGUAGCUGAAGGGCUCCAGGCGGCAGGCGGACCACAAUAAGAACCUUCUCCUGUCACUUCAUAUUUGCCCACAGAGCCUCUUAAAGCGCCGCUGCCACCGCUGCACCUUUCAGACCGCGGCUCCGGAUCACGGCUGUGUUUUUGGAUGAAAAGUCAAGACUCGGUUCGCAGCUAAAACUGAACAUGUUGAUGAAUCUUCAGAAUUUCAGUGUUGGGUUCCAUUCUCCCACUACUGAAACAUGCAGAAACCUGCAUUAACCCUUCAUGCCCCAUUCUUACUCUCACUGGGUUCUUGCUGCACGCGCGAAAACUCCCCGCAGGGUACCUUUAUCUCUAAACACUGCCCUACUAUGCGUGUAGGUCUGCAUGAGGAAACAAACAGAGCAGUCUGUCUGUAACAGUGCAAAAUGUUAGAACAUCAAAAAUUUAGUUUUCUAGCUUUGUCAGACAAAAAGGAAAGGAAGUGUAAUAAUUAGCUUAAACUAGAAAAAAUAAUUACAAUAGUUCACCCAAAUAUUCAGAGAGGGAAAAAAUACGUAAAAAAAAACAGUAUUAUUUUGAACAGUGCAGUGAAAUACACCGUAGAAAAUGUUCGUGUUUAAUGGAGUUUAUUAGGGGGCUGAAGUGUUUCAGUCAUGCACACCUGUUGCUGAACGGCAGCAUUUUCAGUCGCAAACAAAGAGUAUAAAGCGUGUAGAGGACUGAGACAGCUGAGACAGAGCGGCCAGUAAAAUAGGAGUGCGCUUAUACAGAUAUAUGUCUGAUAUACACACAGCAGAAUAAAGACAGAUUAAAUCUUAUCGUUAAAAUAAUAUAAACAGCUACAUAUUUUACCAGAGGGAAGGUCUAAUAUCCUCAAACGAUUUCUGUGGGAAAAUUGUUUUGUUUUGUUUUUUCCUUUUUUUUGACAAAAUGUCUGGCAAAUGUUUAGAUGGUAUUCUUGUAGAAUGCCCCUACAUGCUAAACAAAACUGAAGUAAAUAAUAAAAUGAAUAAAUAAACAUUAAACAUAAAAACAGAAAUCUACGUAAAAGAAAGAGAAAUCCCAAAAUAAUGUAAUGAAUUUAAUAAGAUAAAAUCAAAUCAUUUUAUUUUCUUCUUUAUUAUCUUUAUUAUUUUGUAAUAGGUGAAACUAUCCUUGAGUAAACGUUGUGAUAUGUUGUAACAUGGUGUAAUUAAUCUGUAAUAGGGCUGUGCUGGUAGCGCGAUCCACUGCAGAGACUGUCAGUAAGCUGAGUUUAAAUGGUAUAAGAGCGGCUCACUCGUGUAAAUAUUUACCGCAGCCUGCUGUUGCUUUUGGGCGCCGUUCAAACUGCUUCGCAGCUGGAAAAAAAAAACGUAUUUUAAGCUAUCGUUAUUUACGUCGAGCUGUAUGAUAAAGACUGCUGUCUUUCUGUCUGCGAUCUUCAGCUCAUAGUCGUUGGGGGAUCUGGCUCUGGUGGCACCGUUGUGAUUUGCUUAUUAGAGAACAGUCGCAGUGAAGGGUUUUACCUACAGAGCCUCUGAAUGGGCCUGAUCAAUAGUCUAUGUUUGAUCUGCGGGCUUCACCUUGGACAGAGGGCGAUCUGAAGUGGAAAGAGAUUAGGCACACAUGGGAAUGGUAAUGGUUUUCCAUGUAUAUACUUAAGGAACUAAUCACAUCAACAGAGUCCCAGCAAUUAGGUCCGAUUUAUUUUUCCUAGGGCCCAGAUCCUCACUGACACACAUCCAAACCGACAAGAAUGUAAUCAAGCGCUGAGCCAUUAUCACACAGGGCUUCAGAGCUGCUCCUACUGCUGGGAGGAAACUUCUCAGUGCAGCGCCGCAGUGGAGAGCUGAGGGGGUGUGGGGGGUGCUCCGACCCUUCUGAUGAGAAGCAGGUAAAUAAAGUGGUGCUCUGAAAAAUUAGAGGAGGAAGACUUAAAUCCAGAGUGAUGCAUUGACACGGAUUACAUCAGCAUAACUUGUCUUUCUGUUUACUUACAUUUGGCUUUGUUUGUGUUGGUGUAGUACAUUAUUUUCAUGUGGAAAUACAAAUUGGAACCAAGUAAAUUCAAUGCAUCACUGUUUUUUUUUUUAAUUUAGUAUUUAACAAAUAAUAUCGGGGUUCUUUAUGCAUUAUUUGCUCGGGUCAGUCAGGUCCUCAUUGAGCCCUUUGUCUGAUGGUUUAACAACGCAUUUUAGGCUUACGUAUGAAAUAACAUUUUUAUAAAACAUCAUACAGGUUUUUACUAUCAUCAUAUCAGACUGAUGUCACUAAAACACAAUAGGCUCGUAUCGCUUAUUAAAGGGUCGCUUUCCUUUCCGCCUUUUUUUUCUUGUACAUUGUUGCCCCCUUUUUCCAUCUUUUCGCCAUCUCUACCCAAACCUCUGCAUCAUCUCUCCUGCUAUAUUUAGCCAGUAGACUGAGGCAUUGGCGCCAGACCGUUUAAGACCUGUCAAAGUCCCUCAUAUUUCCCCUUGUCACAUGUACAGCCACCAGCCCCCACUCCUCCUCUCCUCUCCUCCUCCUCUUCUCCUCCUCCUCCUCCUCCUCCUCCUCCUCCUCUCUGCCCAGCUCACUACUUCAUUCAGCCCAUCCAUGCGCACCCAGCGUAUAAUUCUCUAGAUUUCCUUAUUCUCCGGUAAAGCAUCUGAUUUAAUCUGCGCUCUUUGCUUUUUGUAGAAAGCACUAAUCUGCUGAGGUAACAGCUCUUCACGCGCGAGCCAAUAGCAGCCUCGCAGACCACAAAUGGAAAUAACAGCGGAAUCAACAUGUAGUUAUUCCUCUGGCUCUCCUUCACACAUGCACGCGCGCACCAACGGACGCACCGCGCGAGCGCACGCAACAUAUUUCAUUUUCCAUAUUAGAUAUUACGGACUCUCUAACGAGACUGUCUGAUAAAAUAAUCGCUUCGUGUAGUUUCGUAUUUGUAUGUGAAAAAUGUCUUCUACUUUAAUAAACUUGUAAAAGGCUGCCAACACACACUACUUAGGAAUAUUCUGAAUAGCUCUGCUCUCUCAGCAAAAAGGGUUCUCUGACUCGUAACAAUGGUGGAACCCUUUUUAGUGCUGUAUAGAACCAUUUUUACCAAAGAACCGUUUUAAAGAGCUCUAUUUUCAGAGUGAUUUAAAGUACACGGUGCUACUAUAUAGAUUUACAGGUGUUUCUGAUGGAGACUUUAAUUUGAUCCCAUGUCAAGGUUUACGUUACUGAUGUUCACAGUGAUGAAGUCACACCUUUUUCCCGCAGGUAACAGGUGGGGGCGCUCUAAUGACCCUCGGGAAUGGGGGGAUUCCCUUCAUACCACACUGUGCCACCGCUCAGCCCAUCAGUAAAGCCGACACAGGGCUUCUUCCACGCAGGCAGACGUGAUGGCUUUUAUCAGGAGAGAGAACCUAACUUCAUUCAGUCUGCAAAUUACUUCCCAAGGAGCUGCCCAGCAUCCAGCAGGCACACGGCAUACGGCCCAGGCUGAAAGGGGGCCUGAGCAAGUGUAUGUACACGAUAAUUCAUCUUGGAAAGAAAUCUGGAGAAAGCUCUGCUGAAUCCUGCAUCUUCCUGGAGAAAAGACAGCGUCAUUUUCUAAGCAUUUGCAGUUCAUCUUCUUGUGUUGCUUAAAUGUUUCACACAGUUAAGUAUGAUUUCUCUUAUUAUGUAAUCAGAUGAAAAAAUCGCAACACAUUAAAAACCACAGAGUAAGUUAAUAAGUAGGAAAUUAAGAAUGGUUUACACAUUUCCCACCUUACCAAGCAGUAAAUCAGUACGAACAGUGACAGAAACAAUCCUCUGAACUGUAUGUCUGUGUUUAUAUGAUUCUCAUCAUUAAAGAUGACUGUGACGGUACAAUACUGGCUCUGUUUCUGGUUUUGUCUGCUGGCAGGCUGAUUCAGGUAAGGUUGUGAAUGAACAAAGUUAUGAAUUAUGAAUAAGGAAAAGUCUUUUUACCAGCAUAUAAUAUUGAUGCAAUUCAACCAAAUUCAUUUUAGUCUUCAUUAUUUAUAAUAUUUAUUAGAGAAC